rnacentral:misc_RNA from 1 species
UGGUUCUCGCAUCGAUGAAGAACGCAGCGAAAUGCGAUAAGUAAUGUGAAUUGCAGAAUUCAGUGAAUCAUCGAAUCUUUGAACGCACCUUGCGCUCCUUGGUAUUCCGAGGAGCAUGCCUGUUUGAGUGUCAUGUUAACUCUCGGCCAUUUUUUUAUGGUCGGACUAUGGACGCUUGCGGGAGUAAGUUCCGCUCGUCUUAAAUGCAUUGGCAGGUUGGCGGGAUUGGUUGGUGCUGCCCUGGCCGAGUUUGAGCUAUCAUUGCCUCUCUCCGUGUGUGGCCCCAUCCCGGUUAACUAGACGCUUCGGCGUCAACAUCUUGACUUUUGACCUCAAAUCAGGUAGGAUUACCCGCUGA